GCUUAGGAAGCCUGUGCAUAGACUAAAAUUAGAACAAUACAGAGAAGAUUAGCAUGGCCCCUGCACGUGGAUGAUGUGCAAAUUCAUGAAGUGGUCCAUAUUAAA
ensembl:snRNA U6 U6 spliceosomal RNA